rnacentral:rRNA from 1 species
UACUUCCAAGAAAAGCUCGCAAUGUCAUAAACAAAUAAUGCCUGUACCAUAACCGACACAGGUGGGUAGGUAGAGUAUACUAAGGGGCGCGAGAUAACUCUCUCUAAGGAACUCGGCAAAAUGACUCCGUAACUUCGGGAGAAGGAGUGCCUUAUUUAUAAGGUUGCAAUAACAAGAUCCAAGCAACUGUUUAUCAAAAACACAGGUCUCCGCUAAGUCGUAAAACGAUGUAUGGGGGCUGACGCCUGCCCAGUGCCAGAAGGUUAAAGAAGUUGGUUAGCAUUCGCGAAGCUGAUAACUGAAGCCCUGGUGAACGGCGGCCGUAACAAUAACGGUCCUAAGGUAGCGAAAUUCCUUGUCGGGUAAGUUCCGACCCGCACGAAAGGCGUAAUGAUUUGGAUACUGUCUCGGAGAGGGGCUCGGUGAAAUAGACUUGUCUGUGAAGAUGCGGACUACCUGCACCUGGACAGAAAGACCCUAUGAAGCUUUACUGUAACUUGAAAUUGAAAUUGGACUUUAUUUGCGCAGCAUAGGUGGGAGGCGUUGAGAGUAUUCUUGCGGGAAUAUUGGAGCCAUCAGUGAGAUACCACUCUUGUAAUGUUAGAUUUCUAACUUUGGAUCAUUAUCUGGUCAAAGAACAGUUUCAGGCGGGCAGUUUGACUGGGGCGGUCGCCUCCCAAAUGGUAACGGAGGCGUACAAAGGUUUCCUCUGAACGGGUAGAAAUCGUAUCUAGAGUGUAAAGGCAUAAGGAAGCUUGACUGUGAGACCUACAAGUCGAGCAGGGACGAAAGUCGGUCUUAGUGAUCUGACGGUGCUGAGUGGAAAGGCCGUCACUCAACGGAUAAAAGUUACUCUAAGGAUAACAGGCUGAUCUCCCCCAAGAGUUCACAUCGACGGGGAGGUUUGGCACCUCGAUGUCGGCUCAUCGCAUCCUGGGGCGGUAGUACGUCCCAAGGGUUGGGCUGUUCGCCCAUGAAAGCGGUACGCGAGCUGGGUUCAGAACGUCGUGAGACAGUUCGGUCCAUAUCCGGUGUAGGCGUUAGAAUAUUGAGAGGAGCCUUCUUUAGUACGAGAGGACCGAGAAGGACAUACCUCUGGUGUACCAGUUAUCGUGCCAACGGUAAACGCUGGGUAGCUAUGUAUGGAGAGGAUAACCGCUGAAAGCAUCUAAGUGGGAAGCCCACCUCAAGAUAAGUAUUCU